rnacentral:rRNA from 1 species
UACGAGGGGGGCAAGCGUUGUUCGGAAUUAUUGGGCGUAAAGGGUGCGUAGGCGGUCUGAUAAGUCAUCUGUGAAAUCUAUGGGCUCAACCCAUAGUCUGCAGGCGAAACUGUCGGGCUUGAGUAUGGGAGAGGUGAGUGGAAUUUCCGGUGUAGCGGUGAAAUGCGUAGAUAUCGGAAGGAACACCUGUGGCGAAAGCGGCUCACUGGACCAUUACUGACGCUGAUGCACGAAAGCCAGGGGAGCAAACGGG